ACUCCUACGGGAGGCAGCAGUGGGGAAUUUUGGACAAUGGGGGAAACCCUGAUCCAGCCAUGCCGCGUGAGUGAAGAAGGCCUUCGGGUUGUAACGCUCUUUCAGUCGAGAAGAAAAGAUUGUGGCUAAUAAUCACAAUUCAUGACGGUAUCGAUAGAAGAAGCACCGGCUAACUACGUGCCAGCAGCCGCGGUAAU
rnacentral:rRNA from 1 species